rnacentral:rRNA from 1 species
CCUACGGGUGACUGCAGUGGGGAAUAUUGCACAAUGGGGGAAACCCUGAUGCAGCGACGCCGCGUGAGUGAAGAAGUAUCUCGGUACGUAAAGCUCUAUCAGCAGGGAAGAAAAUGACGGUACCUGACUAAGCAGCCCCGGCUAACUACGUGCCAGCAGCCGCGGUAAUACGUAGGGGGCAAGCGUUAUCCGGAUUUACUGGGUGUAAAGGGAGCGUAGACGGCAGCACAAGUCUGGAGUGAAAUCCCGGGGCUUAACCCCGGAACUGCCUUUGAAACUGUGCGGCUGGAGUGCAGGAGGGGUAAGCGGAAUGCCUAGUGUAGCGGUGAGAUGCGUAGAUAUUAGGAAGAACACCGGUGGCGAAGGCGGCUUACUGGACUGUAACUGACGUUGAGGCUCGAAAGCGUGGGGAGCGAACAGGAUUAGAUACCCGGGUAGUC